AACGCAAUAAGUAUCCCACCUGGGGAGUACGAUCGCAAGGUUGAAACUCAAAGGAAUUGACGGGGGCCCGCACAAGCGGUGGAGUAUGUGGUUUAAUUCGACGCAACGCGAAGAACCUUACCAGGGCUUGACAUCCUACUAACGAGGUAGAGAUACGUUAGGUGCCCUUCGGGGAAAGUAGAGACAGGUGGUGCAUGGUUGUCGUCAGCUCGUGUCGUGAGAUGUUGGGUUAAGUCCCGCAACGAGCGCAACCCUUAUUGUUAGUUGCUACGCAAGAGCACUCUAGCGAGACUGCCGUUGACAAAACGGAGGAAGGUGGGGACGACGUCAAAUCAUCAUGCCCCUUACGUCCUGGGCCACACACGUACUACAAUGGCGGCCAACAAAGAGAGGCGAGACCGCGAGGUGGAGCAAAUCUCAAAAAGCCGUCCCAGUUCGGAUCGCAGGCUGCAACCCGCCUGCGUGAAGUUGGAAUCGCUAGUAAUCGCGGAUCAGAAUGCCGCGGUGAAUACGUUCCCGGGCCUUGUACACACCGCCCGUCACACCAUGAGAGUCGGGAACACCCGAAGUCCGUAGCUUAACCGCAAGGGGGGCGCGGCCGAAGGUGGGUUCGAUAAUUGGGGUGAAGUCGUAACAAGGUAACCGU
rnacentral:rRNA from 1 species